CCCGGUUCUCGUUAGAUCACCGAAGUCAAACAUCAAUGGGCGCGGUCAGUACUUGGGUGGGUGACCACCUGGGAACACCGCGUGUCGUU